GAUUUAGCAAAGUUCAGAUGAGAUUUCACUAGAGUGUGGGCAAGAUCUUUGGCAGGGUUGAUAGAAGGUCUAGAGAGCCAACUAGAAUACAAGGUAAACUUCAGACAAAGAUGGGCCAAGGAAGGCUGAAAUUCAGUGGGUUAAUAGGUUCCAAGGAUCCACCCACUGACACAAUAAUAGACACAUUCAUUGCGCAAACAUGCACUUUUCAGCCUGAUAGUUAGGGCUGAAGCUACAGCUAAUAUUGAAUCAGUUGUGGUGUCUGGACAGGUUGGAGAAAGCCAAGGCUGACAUUUUUAUUCUUCCAUCUCCACUCUCAAGGAAAUUACUCAGUGUCUCCAUAAAAACACCAACUGGAAGGACAUGGCUGCAUCUGGAGACUCUGUGCCCCAGUCCUCAGUUGAGCUCUGAAGAAGAGACCUCCAGCAACACUCGUGAGUACAGAGGUGGGCAGGGAGACAGACGUGAAAGAGCAGAGCACUGUGCUAGCACAGCCAGGGCCUGGGGAGAUGGCACACCAACCCUCCAGGACAGCAUUAACAACCUCACUGCCAAAAACCUCACUUAUCCUUACUACAACAUCCUCUUCUAUAUCCGAUACCCUCUCCUCUUUGCCUAACACAAAACAUUAUUCCUCUACUUGAACUGUAGGACUUGCGAUAGAGAUUGUGAAUUACAAAUUUCUUGUGUUUUAGGAUCUUCCUCAUCCCCAAUUUCUGAGGGCUCAGCCUCAGUGCCCCAAGGGUCGAAUCCACAUCCCCAUGUGGAAGGUGGCUUUAAUGCCAAGAGUCUAAUAUCCCUUUCCAUGUCCACUCACGGAGCACUGAGCACCUGGUCCUCUGAUGGACAAAGGACAAGAGCACGCUCUGUGUGCAGCCAGCAGGCCCUGAGAUGGAGGAGGGGAAGAUUACAGACCACGAAGAGCACUUGGUGAGGUGCCUGGGAGUCACAAAAUGCACAGGAAAGGCACGGACAUUAAAUUGGGGGACCUCUUGUGCGAAACUUUGUUUUGGUCCUGGUCUUGGUUUUCUCACUGCUAAAUAAGGUUGGAAUAAAUCAGAGAAUGAUAUCAGGCAAUGGGCACAUCUAGCCAACAGCUGUGAUGUCCACCACAUUGGCCAGCAGAGCGGGCUUGCUUUGUUUCUUCUCUCUUUUCUUUUUGUUCUUUCUUUCUUUCCUUCUUUCUUUCUUUCUUUUCUCUUGCACAAUCAUUGGAAGUGCUGGCAACAGGAGCCUCUUUACCUGCUGGUGACGAUCAGUGAGCUGGGAUGGCAGCGCCCCC
rnacentral:lncRNA from 1 species